CUCGCCCUCGCCGGAAUUCACUCAUCGCAGUUUCCCAGACAGAAGCAACUAUCAACCAUGCUAUCAGCCCGCUUCAAUUUCAUUUCGGUAAAGAGUAAACUAAGACCUGGAUCUCUGACCCCCAGACCUGGGGACACAGUAACAACCCUGGAUGGAUGUAUUGAAAAAGUCUACCAACGGAGGGCAGCAUUGAGUUUCAGUUGACUAAGUCAAGCUUGUUCGAUUUGAGGCAGAUCUGACUUGGUCUGGCUUUCUACGUAAACGUGAUCUUCAGAGGCUAGCCGGGACAGUCACGGCGGCAUGGGGGGUCUUUGGGGGGCAAGGCCCGUCCUGGAAGUCAUCUGUGCCCGCCCUCCCAUACAAAAAUGUGGUGAUUUGUGAGGACUGCUGCCCUGAGAACACUGAGUGCAUUCUGCAUAUUAUGCCAAAUCAAUGUGUGCCACUUCCAUAAAGGGGAAAAAAGUUUCUACCUGGAGAGUGUACUCACUGUUUGUGU